rnacentral:rRNA from 1 species
CGGUGGAGCAUGUGGUUAAUUCGAAGCAACGCGAAGAACCUUACCAGGCCUUGACAUGCAGAGAACUUUCCAGAGAUGGAUUGGUGCCUUCGGGAACUCUGACACAGGUGCUGCAUGGCUGUCGUCAGCUCGUGUCGUGAGAUGUUGGGUUAAGUCCCGUAACGAGCGCAACCCUUGUCCUUAGUUACCAGCACGUUAUGGUGGGCACUCUAAGGAGACUGCCGGUGACAAACCGGAGGAAGGUGGGGAUGGACGUCAAGUCAUCAUGGCCCUUACGGCCUGGGCUACACACGUGCUACAAUGGUCGGUACAAAGGGUUGCCAAGCCGCGAGGUGGAGCUAAUCCCAUAAAACCGAUCGUAGUCCGGAUCGCAGUCUGCAACUCGACUGCGUGAAGUCGGAAUCGCUAGUAAUCGUGAAUCAGAAUGUCACGGUGAAUACGUUCCCGGGCCUU